UCGCCUGUUUAUCAAAAACAUGGUCUUUUGUUUAUAUAAAAGAUCUGGCCUGCCCAAUGUUGAUUGAAUGGCUGCAGUAUAUUGACUGUACAAAGGUAGCAUAAUCACUUGUCUCUUAAUUAGAGUCUGGAAUGAAUGGUUGGAUGAGAAAUUUUCUUUCUUUAUUUUUUAAAAAAAAAUUGAUUUUUAAAUAAAAAAGUUUAAAUGUAUAUAUAGGACGAGAAGACCCUAUAGAGCUUAAUCCUCCCUAAAUAAUUAUUUUUUUGUAAAUAAUUAUUUUUUAUUUUGGGGGAGGAUUUUGUUGGGGUGACAGAAAAAAUUUUAUAACUUUUUUUACUUUUUUCAUUUAUUUGUGUAUUAUUGAUCCUUUAAUAUGGAUAUUAAGAUUAAGCUACCUUAGGGAUAACAGCGUUAUUAUUUUAGAGAGUUCAUAUCGAUAAAAUAGUUUGCGACCUCGAUGUUGGAUUAAAAUAAGUUUCAGGGGCAGAAAAUUGAUUAACUAGGUCUGUUCGACCUUUAAAUUUUUACAUGAUCUGAGUUCAAACCGGAGA
rnacentral:rRNA from 1 species